GGAUGAGUGUCUGAGUGGUUAAAGGUAUCAGUCUUGAAAACUGACAUAUUCUAUGAAUAUCGUGGGUUCGAAUCCUACCUCAUCCG
rnacentral:tRNA from 1 species